rnacentral:rRNA from 1 species
AUGGAUCCUGUUGAGAUUCCUGGGGGGGUCGAUCCCAAUCCCAACACACCAUGUGUGUAUGGCAAGAUGCAGACGCAUUCCCAAUCCCCGCCGUUGCAGGCAGCAGACUCCGUAUCCAGGGUGCUCGACGACGAUGACCUCCUCAUCGAGAUCAUUGUCCGACUCGGCCUGCCCACCACCCUCAUCCGCGCCAUCCUUGUCUGCAAGCGCUGGUUCUUCAUUGUAUCCGAUAAGGCCUUUCUCCGCCGCUUCCGCAGCCUCCACCCGCCCCGUCUCCUCGGCUUCUAUGUCUCCACCAGGUCAACUGAUGAGCUCUCACUAGUCCUGCUCCGCCCGCGCUUUGUCCCGAUGCUGCCUCAGCCCCUGGAGCUUGCCACUGCUGUCCGCCUGGCUGAGAACUACAGUCUGGAGACCUAUGACGAAGAACUUGCAUGCGUUUGUGAGUGCCAGAACGACACCAUCCUUCUCCAUGGCUUCCAAGACAAGAGCAUCUUGUUUGGAGUGCACUGGCCGCUGUGCCCGGAGAGAGGCGUUGUUGCACCGCCAAUCACCCCAUAUGAAGAAUUUGAUGGCACUGCAGCCACUUGUGCCCACUUCCUCUUGAAGGAAGAAGGUGACGGUAAGAACCUGACCUUCAUAUGGUUCUCAAUUGGUUAUCUCAUAGAGGGAAAAGAUUAUUCUAUAAAAUACAAGGCGCACAUAUAUAUGCUACAAGAUGGUCUUUGGUACUGGCGUUCCUCAGCAGCGGCAGUGCUCCCUUCUCCGUGGCCGGAUCCACAUCCUCUGUUGUCUGGCAAUAAGAUCUAUAUGGAGCACUCCACGAGCAUUGCUGCAUUGAAUUUGACGACUUCAAACUUCUCCACUAUUCCGCUCCCCGAAGGAAUGGAGCGGUAUGUUUGUGAAGAUAUGAUGCUAUCACGGGCCAAUGAUUCAGGGGUUUAUCUUGUACAUCUUGAGAAACUGCAGCUUCGCAUCUGGCUCCACACGGGGGGCAACAGUGGCGGCAUGAGAAACUGGUUGCUUUUGGAUACAAUUUGCUUGCGUGAGAUGUUGGAUGCUUUGGGGAUGGCUGAUAAUGAGCAGCCUACUCUUUUAGACACAUUCCAAACAGGGGAUAAUCUCCAGUUUGUGUUCUUCAAGAUAGGCCAGUCUGCACUUCACUUGGAUAUUAAACGCCGGGAGCUGCGUAAGGUGUAUGAAGUGACAGAAGAUGAACGAACUUUAGAACGGAUUUAUCCUUUUAUGAUGACAUGGCCACCCACAUUUCCUGUGCUCAAGAAUGAUCCUGCAAGUCCUAAUAGAGCUGUCCUAUGA